GAUGAACGCUGGCGGCGUGCCUAACACAUGCAAGUCGAACGGAGUUAUAAUGAAACCUAGUGAAUUGUAACUUAGUGGCGGACGGGUGAGUAACGCGUGGAUAACCUGCCGUGUACAGGGGGAUAACACUUAGAAAUAGGUGCUAAUACCGCAUAAGCGCACAGCUUCGCAUGAAGGAGUGUGAAAAGCCGAGACGGUACACGAUGGAUCCGCGUCCGAUUAGCCAGUUGGCGGGGUAGAGGCCCACCAAAGCGACGAUCGGUAGCCGGCCUGAGAGGGUGAACGGCCACAUUGGGACUGAGACACGGCCCAA
rnacentral:rRNA from 1 species